UACGAAGGGGGCUAGCGUUGCUCGGAAUCACUGGGCGUAAAGAGCGCGCAGGCGGUCCGAUCAGUCGAAUGUGAAAGCCCCCGGCUCAACUGGGGAGGGUCAUUCGAUACUGUUCGACUCGAAGGCAGGAGAGGGAAGUGGAAUUCCGGGUGUAGCGGUGGAAUGCGUAGAGAUCCGGAAGAACACCGGUGGCGAAGGCGGCCUGCUGGGCAAUUGCUGACACUGAGGCGCGACAGCGUGGGGAGCAAACAGG
rnacentral:rRNA from 1 species